ACGUAGGGAGCAAGCGUUGUCCGGAUUUACUGGGUGUAAAGGGUGCGUAGGCGGAUUGGCAAGUCAGAAGUGAAAUCCAUGGGCUUAACCCAUGAACUGCUUUUGAAACUGUUAGUCUUGAGUGAAGUAGAGGUAGGCGGAAUUCCCGGUGUAGCGGUGAAAUGCGUAGAGAUCGGGAGGAACACCAGUGGCGAAGGCGGCCUACUGGGCUUUAACUGACGCUGAGGCACGAAAGUGUGGGUAGCAAACAGGAUUAGAUACCCUUGU
rnacentral:rRNA from 1 species